GAUAGGCAAAUGAAAACUGUUACUGACCAUGAUUUCAAAAAUAUAGCUAUUUGAAGUUUAUCAUAAAUGCAUUUGUUUAUCCCCUGUUAUCUGCACAGUAUGGUUUUGCACCAUAAAUCUAGAGGUUUUUCAUGACCCGAGUUAGAAUCAAAAUAAGUAGUAAGAAUUGUAAUUAAAAUAAAAAUAGCAGGAAAGAGGUGGUUGAAAUGUAAU